rnacentral:misc_RNA from 1 species
UUUCCGUAGGUGAACCUGCGGAAGGAUCAUUACCGAAUCGUCAAACACGGGUUGUUGCUGGUCCCCAAGCGGGGGGGCAUGUGCACGCUCUGUUUACGCAUCCACUCACACCUGUGCACCCUCGGUAGUUCUAUGGUUCGGGAGACCCUGUCUUCCUUCCGUGGCUCUAUGUCUUUACACACGCAACGUCUCGUGGAAUGUUUUUCGCGUUUAACGCAAUACAAUACAACUUUCAGCAACGGAUCUCUUGGCUCUC